UCCCACCAGGGAGCUGGAUCAGGGACUCCAUCCUGGAUCCCAGGAUCACACCCUGAGCCCUGAGCUGAAGGCAAAUGCUCAACCUCUGAGCCGCCCACGCGUCCCCCACACCUUUUUUUUUUUUUUUUUUUUAAGCUUCCUCUCAUUUGUUUGUUUCUUUUCUUGGGUGGAGAAAGAAGGAAAUUCCAUGAUUUGCAAGUCUGCCAGAGCCAGAGUGUGUGUGUAGGGCCAGGUUGCUGUCAGGGACAAAGGCAGGGAGAUGGCCUGUGUCAAAAUGAAGAUCCACUGGGGCAAGAAGAAAGCCAGGCUGGAAGGAAGAGAAGCAGGCUUCGAGCUCCAACAAUUCCUGCCCAGUGAGGCUCAGGGGCCCCAGAGACAAGAGCCCAAAGGCCAUUCUUCGAAGCUGAGCACGAUUACAGGGUUUCUGAGAGUACUGCACAGAAAUAAAGGACCCAAAAAGGUCACUCAUCCACCAGAAACUUCCAAAGGUUUCUCUGAGUUGGUCCAGGAUGGGCGGUUCCUGGAGGCCUACCUGAGCAUCCCGACAUUGGUAAAGCAAGGGCAAGACUGCAAAUCCCUGUACCAGGUUGUGGCCCAGAGCAUGUGGCAGGUGGUCCAGCAGGCUCUGGAGGGCACUGAGUACAGCCCAGAGCUGGAGCUAAAGAUCCAGGCUGUGCUGGGCACCAUAGAGUGGACACAGGAGAAGCACCAGAGCUGGGAGGAUGGUGACUUCCAGGAUGGUGACCUCCAGGAUGGUGACCUCCAGGAUGGUGACCUCCAGGAUGGUGACCUCCAGGAUGGCGGAGUUGCCGCCUGGGGCAAUCAGCUGGAGAAGCUGCUGAGAAGUGAUGUGGAGGCCAGAGUGCCUGCCCCGGGCCCCGGCGACCAGGUGGACCUGUACCUGGAGAAGCUAGAAGAGGCUGUGACACAGGGCCUGGGGUCCCUGCGGGCCAGCCUGUUGGGGCCCCAGCUCUGGAAGGUCUACAGGACACACUUCCAGGAGGUCCUCCUCAGCCGCCUCUGGGAGCUCACGCACUCCUUUGGCACCAACUGGGAAAGCUGUCACAUGCUGUACUCCUGGGCCAAGAUAACGUUGUUUGAGGAGCCAGGGAAGACACUUGUGAGUGCACCUCCCACCUCCCAGGAGCCCACGGUCAGGCAACUCUUAGAUCCCGUGACGUUUGUUCCCUGGAUGUCCCGAAUGCAGAAGAAGCUGGUGGGACUAAUCCAGGAAAGCUUGGAGAAACAACUAGAAAACGUCCUGAUCUGUGAUUGGAAAACAUGGGCCCAGGGUUCCUGCCCGACGUUUAUCGAAAUCUUCCAGCUGCUGGAACAAAAGAUUAAUGCAGUACAACCGAUUGGACUACCUAUCACUAGCCAGGUGCAAUCCAUGGUUCUGGAAACAUUUUCAAAGUUUCUGAAAAGGUACGAGGCCGAGGCCGCCCACUUCCUCCACCAGAACGCCACUGCUGGGCCCCUCCCCGAGGUGCACGUGCUGGCAAACUGCGGCAUCCUCAGGGAAACGUGGCAGUUGCUGGGCUGGGCACACAUUCUGCCGGCACAUCUGGACGCUGUCGUGCAAGACAUCAUCCACGUCAUCGAGAGCCACAGCCAGGACCACUUCCUGUUUAAGGGCAGAGCCUUGUGCAAGAGUCUGCUCCUGGGUUACUUCGUGAGGAAGGACAAGGAUCUGGCUGGAGCUCUGGAGCCCUUGUGGCAGAGUCUGGAGGGCCGUCCCAAAAUGUACUCCACUCUCAUGUAUGAGAACAUCAUGCGAAGUUUGCACGUGGUGGUCUUUGGGGAGUACAUCCAGGCCCUGGCCACCCACCUCAAGAAGCUGGCGCCCAAGAAGUGGGAGGACAUCUUGGUUCAGGUGAACACUGACACCAUGAAGUUGCACAACAUCUUCACGAAGUACAGGGACGUCGGCUUGGCCAACCUACAGGAACCCAUCAUGGGGAUCUUCCAGCUCAGAGGGAACAAGGGUAGGGAGACUGUGGAUGACUGGCUGGUGUCCUUCAGGGACAGAUUCCCAGAUUAUUUAAGCACCCAGGUCCAGCCACACUGCUCUGUGCUCUUGGAGGAGACUGAGGACAAGGGAAGCUGCUGCCGCUGCUGUUGACCCCAGCUCUGGUAAAGGAUCUGGCGGCAGCUCCCUGACUGCCCUUAAUGGAGGUGGAGGUGAGCUCAAGCUUCAGGGAGCCUUGGGCUGUGGAAGUUGUGUGGCUCUGACACCCACCUAUGGAGAAGGAUCUGGGUGCCCCUGGUCACCAGGUGGCCACUUCAUAAAUGGCGGCCUGACAUCCAGGAGGAAGCCAAUCCUUCUCAGGUCUGGACUCGUCUGUCAGAAGGAAUACCCUGACCCCAGCCACCAAGCAAUAAGGCAGGCCAGGCCUUGUGGGAGGUCACAUGCUCAUGUUCUAGCCAGAAACCCUACUGAAGACCCAGCCAACAGCUGGCAUGAACCCCAGAAGAACCUCAAGAUUCCUGCAGCCCCAACCACUGUCUGAUGUAGCAUCAGAAUUAAAGGCGAACAUAGCCUAUUGGUGACUGAACAGUUGGACCCUUGCCUGGUGUGGAAGUUCCCACAGUUGGUAUCAAAAGAGCUGUGAGCAGAGGGACAGUUUUGCUGGAGUCACCUUGGUCACCCAUGCCUCCCCAUGGAGGUGGGGGGGGACACUUGCUUGCUGCCACCCCAAGCUGCAUGAAAAUGCUUCAAUGAACAGGCCUCUGCCUAAUCUGAGUCAGAAGCUGUCAAGUCGUUUCUCCUUUUCCUUCCCUUUGUCCUCCUUCACGUUAUUCUCUUUUCUGGAAAAUGAAAGAGUAGUUCCUGUACAUCAGUAUUUAAGAGAGGCUGCGACCCAGACCUUGCUUCAACGCUGUUUUAGCGGAUUCCCUAGGCUCGGACUGUCCUGGACUGAGGCUGGGCAGCAGCAAACACUGAUCGUCUCCCGAGGAAAGUGCCUUCAUUCUGGGUGUCAAAUCACUCCUACAAGUAGUUUCUGAAGGACAGGACAAUGAGCUCUGUAUAAAAAUAAGCAAGUACACAAGGGCAGAGGAACCAUGAGUGAGACCCAGUAGGACCUGCAGACAGCAGACAGGCCUGCAAAGACCGGCUCUCGUCACGUGGUGUAGCAGACACAUGGCAUAUCAGACACUGACUGUACCAGACACUGACUGUAUCAGGCACACGGUGUAUCAGACACUGUAUCAGACACUGUAUUAGACACUGACUGUAACAGAUGCACAAGGUAUCAGACAGCGACUGUACCAGACACUGACUGUACCAGACACCGACUGUAUCAGGCACAUGGUGUAGCAGACACAUGGCAACUAUACCAGAUGCUGACUGUAUCAAACACAGACUGUACCAGACACUGGCUGUAUUAGACACUGACUGUAUCAGACAGUGACUGUAUUAGACACUAUAUCAGACACUGACUGUAUCAGACAACAACUGUAUUAGAUGCUGACUGUAUCAGAUAAACAGGGUAUCAGACAGCGACUGUAUCAGCGACUGUACCAGACACUGUACCAGGCACCGACUAUAUCAGACACUGUAUCAGACAUAGACUGUACUAGACACUGACUGUACCAGACACUGACUGUAUCAGGCACACGGUGUAUCAGACACAUGGCAUAUCAGACACCAAGUGUACCAGACACCGACUGUAUCAAACACUGACUGUAUCAGACAUGGAUUGUACCAGACACUGGCUGUAUUAGACACUGACUGUAUCAGACACAGAGUAUCAGACACUGUAUCAGACAGCGACUGUCUCAGACACUGACUGUAUCAGACACACAGGGUAUCAGACAGCAACUAUAUCAGACAGUGACUAUAUCAGAUACCGACUGUAUCAGGCACACGGUGUAUCAGACACAUGGCAUAUCAGACACCAACUGUACCAGACAUAUGGUAUAUCAGACGUUGACUGUAUUAGACACUGACUGUAUCAGAUAUUGACUGUAUCAGACACCAACUGUAGCAGACAUAUGGUAUAUCAGACGUUGACUGUAUUAGACACUGACUGUAUCAGAUAUUGACUGUAUCAGACACCAACUGUAGCAGACAGUGACUGUACCCAACACCGACUGUAUCAGACAGCGACAAUAUCUGCCACAGACACUGACUGUACCAGACACAUAGUGUAUCAGACAGCAACUGUGGAGUGUGGACAGAUUGUGUCCAAAGAAAUAAAACACAAGCUUGAAAAUAUCUAUAGGGGCAGAUGCUGACUCCCUUCAUGGGGGAUUUCUUGUGGCCUUUGAGAGGAUCCUUUGGGACCCUUUGGGGAACAGGGUCACGAAAAAAACUUCAUUCUAACACUUUCCCUUCCCUGAGCCUCCUGUAUGAUGUCAGGCCAGUUCCUGCCUCUCCGCCUCGUUCACAGCAGGCCACUGAUGCAGCCAAGCUUCCAGAAAUGCAUUAGGACCCGUCUCGGGUGGCCUUGCCUGGACACCAGUCACCUGUCACAUGAGGAUGCUCCUGCAGCAAUGAAUGCCCCUUACCCUCUGACGUUCCGUCCCUGCCCAGCUGGCUUCCCCUGGUCCCUGCGGGCGCACCGAUAAGCUGGUCCCCUCAGAGUAGACAUGGUUCGUCCCUGCUCGGGUGUGCUUGGUCCUGACCUUGGUUGUUGGUCUGCCAGCACGAGGGUUGGUGGGGGGACCGUUCUGGAGAGAUCGGGUGUGAUGUCCUGAGACAAACCCAGAGGUGGGGGGCAGACUUUCACCCCCAAAUCCUCAACAAGUAGGCAAGGAGGGUCAGUUGGCAAGCAGCCUAGUUUCCUUGGAACAUUCCACAUGCUGAUUCCGAGGGCUCCCGGUGGGACGAGCCUUAGUUGCCAACAUGGGAACCCACUUACCAGUGCACUUUGAAUGGGUGCUGGAAGUCGCACUAGGAUCUGAUCUUAAGGGUGGCAGAGCUGAAGAUGUCACGUCUUUUACAUCAAAGACGGGGCGCUGACAGGAACAGAGCGACCUUCAGACACAGAUGAGGAUGUUUGGAAGGAUGAGCCUGAGAAUCUUCGACACCCCUUCCCUGUGAGCCCUGUGAGCCUGCAGGAGCGAGGCUCCCCCUUUCCAGAGGGUCUACAGAGCCUAGCAACAUGUCGCCGCUGUCUCUUUGGGCCUGUCCCUGCCGGGCCUCAUUGCAUCCCAGCCGAUAAACAGGGCCGGCAUUGAAAAUAGCCCAGCAAGGAAAUACAGUCUCUGCUCUGGGGAGGUGGGGUGCGGUGGGGGUUGCUUCUUCACCGAAGCCCUGAGGCACCUGGUUGAGAUCUGCUGCCUGGUUGCAGAAGGCACCAUCGGAUGCAGCUUCAGACCUGCUCGGGAGGGGGUGGAGGGUGACAAGGUGCAUAGAAAUGAGGGGAGCAGGGAUUGGUUUGGUUCUCUUUGUGGCUUGGUUUUCCUUCGUGUAUUUUGAAGCUCUUACAGAUGCAUAAGCAGGUUUGUUUGGUUCUCUUGCUGAAUUGAUCCCUUUACUCUUUUUUUCUCUGGUACUAAUCCUUUCUCUGGGGGCUCCCGGGUGGUGCAGUGGGUUAAGUGUCCGACUCUUGCUUUUGGCUCAGGUCAUGGGCUCAGCGUCAUGAGAUUGAGCCCCGCAUGGUGCUGGGCUCCGUGCUCAGCUGGGAGACUGCUUGGAAUACCUUCCCCUUCCACUCCUCCCCCGACCCUC